rnacentral:lncRNA from 1 species
AUGCUUUCCAGGUUUGGACACCCCUCCAUGGAUUUCUUUUUGGAGAUUUGCAGUUGCAGUGCCAGUGCCAGAGAAGAAAAUCUACAGGCAGUCCUUCCAAGUCAUUUUCAGAGACCCCACCAUGGCAGGUGUCCUGGGAAUACCUGCCUGCUUAGACCUUAUGUAAAAGCUCUGUGCAUCCUGCCACUGAGGACUCCGAAGAGGCAGCAGUCUUCUGAAAGUUGGAAAAACUCCAGGUUUCUGCUCCCUAAAAGAGGAAUCAGGAUUUCAAAUUACAAUCAUGAUCCUGUUGUGAUAACUCAGGAGACCACUGCAGCUUCUGUAUUUUGGAAGAGUUGAAAAUUUAUCAGUGAGGCUAAAUGCCAAG